rnacentral:rRNA from 1 species
GAUGAACGCUGGCGGCGUGCCUAAUACAUGCAAGUAGAACGCUGAAGGAAGGAGCUUGCUCUUUCCGGAUGAGUUGCGAACGGGUGAGUAACGCGUAGGUAACCUGCCUGGUAGCGGGGGAUAACUAUUGGAAACGAUAGCUAAUACCGCAUAACAGUAGAUGUUGCAUGAUAUCUACUUAAAAGGUGCAAUUGCACCACUACCAGAUGGACCUGCGUUGUAUUAGCUAGUUGGUGAGGUAACGGCUCACCAAGGCGACGAUACAUAGCCGACCUGAGAGGGUGAUCGGCCACACUGGGACUGGGACACGGCCCAGACUGCUACGGGAGGCAGCAGUAGGGAAUCUUCGGCAAUGGACGGAAGUCUGACCGAGCAACGCCGCGUGAGUGAAGAAGGUUUUCGGAUCGUAAAGCUCGGUUGUAAGAGAAGAACGAGUGUGAGAGUGGAAAGUUCACACUGUGACGGUAUCUUACCAGAAAGGGACGGCUAACUACGUG